UUCAUUGUUGUGUCAUCAGCACCUGGCACAGUGCUGACAUGGUGGUCAAUGCCUAUACCUUGAGUGAAUAUAGGAAAGAGUUCCAAGUUCCCUAAAGCUUUGGCUCAGGAGUGCUCCAGAUUUUACUUUUUUCAUAAGGGGUCUUGGAAAAGGGAAAAAUUGUAAAGAGAGUCAACAAAUAGAAUUUUAAAACAUCAAUGUGAUUUUGAAUAUGCAUAGAAGACUUUGUGGAGAAGAUAGACAUUGAUUUGGGCUUUGAAGAAUGGGGAAGUUUCAAAAAGAUGGAAUCAGAAAAUGUAAUAAAAGACUUUUAAGACUAUCAGCUUCAAGGUCAUGUGGAGAUGCCAGAUCCCCGUGCAGACCAGUCUGGACAUAGCUUGAAAACUGGA
rnacentral:lncRNA from 1 species